AUUGAACGCUGGCGGCAGGCCUAACACAUGCAAGUCGAACGGUAACAGGAAGCAGCUUGCUGCUUUGCUGACGAGUGGCGGACGGGUGAGUUAUGUCUGGGAAACUGCCCGAUGGAGGGGGAUAACUACUGGAAACGGUAGCUAAUACCGCAUAACGUCGCAAGACCAAAGAGGGGGACCUUAGGGCCUCUUGCCAUCGGAUGUGCCCAGAUGGGAUUAGCUAGUAGGUGGGGUAACGGCUCACCUAGGCGACGAUCCCUAGCUGGUCUGAGAGGAUGACCAGCCACACUGGAACUGAGACACGGUCCAGACUCCUACGGGAGGCAGCAGUGGGGAAUAUUGCACAAUGGGCGCAAGCCUGAUGCAGCCAUGCCGCAUGUAUGAAGAAGGCCUUCGGGUUGUAAAGUACUUUCAGCGGGGAGGAAGGGAGUAAAGUUAAUACCUUUGCUCAUUGACGUUACCCGCAGAAGAAGCACCGGCUAACUCCGUG
rnacentral:rRNA from 1 species